rnacentral:rRNA from 1 species
UGCGCAGGCGGACUAUUAAGUCAGAGGUGAAAUCCCGGGGCUCAACCCCGGAACUGCCUUUGAUACUGGUAGUCUUGAAUACGGUUGAAGUAGGCGGAAUGUAGCAUGUAGCGGUGAAAUGCAUAGAGAUGCUACAGAACACCGAUCGCGAAGGCAGCUUACUAAACCGAUAUUGACGCUCAGGCACGAAAGCGUGGGGAGCGAACAGGAUUAGAUACCCUGGUAGUC